UACGAAGGGGGCUAGCGUUGCUCGGAAUUACUGGGCGUAAAGGGCGCGUAGGCGGGCAUCCAAGUCCGGGGUGAAAGCCCCCAGCUUAACUGGGGAAGUGCCUUGGAUACUGGGUGCCUCGAGGGGGUAGGGCGCGUGGAACUUCCGGUGGAGCGGUGAAAUGCGUAGAGAUCGGAAGGAACGCCGGUGGCGAAGCGAACGCGCUGGGCCCUUUCUGACGCUGAGGCGCGAAAGCCAGGGGAGCGAACGGG
rnacentral:rRNA from 1 species